UUGAAUUGUGAUUGUCAAAGCGACAAAUGUCAAAAUAACUUCUGCAUCAUUUUCGAAUCCAAAAAUGAAAGAAUACACCACAACAAAAAUUACAGAAAAAUAAAACAUAUAUCAAGACAAAUCCGAAAAAUGCAAAAAAAUUUCUGUAAAGGGAUUUGGCGGGAAAACUAGGCAGCGCGAGAGCAUGGGCGCGAGAGAGAUACCGGGUGAUGAGCAAUGCGACGGCGCGGCGGCAGUAGCGCGAGCUCGACAGAGAGUAUCGUGGCGAGGACAGUGCGGGUUAGAACGGUAUACACUGACUUGUAUUUUGAAUUUUGUGAAAUUAAAUUGAUUUUUUAAAAAG